GGACGGCGCGGGCUGGCCGUGCUGCGAAGUGCAGUGGGCCAGGCCCUUCAGCUCGUAGGACCUCCAUUUUGCCCAAAAGAAAGCUGGACGAAGGGGACAGGCGACUAGGUGCCAGACCUGGCAGGGAACACACUGCAUCUCAAGGAGGAAGGUGUGAGUGCAGGCACACGCUGGCCAUGUGCACAUGUGGAAGUCAGAGGACAACUUGCAGGAAUCAGCUCUCUCCUUCUCCCAGAGCUGGAGAGUUGUCUCAGCAUUUAAGAAACAUAUUGGCUGUUCUUUCAGCGGGACAGGAGAUCAUUGUCAACAUCCACGCUGGGUGACUUGCAACCUCCUGUAACUCCAGCUCCGAGAGACACGAAACCCUGGCCUCUCCAGGCUCAAGCUCACAUGCUCGGACAAACACACACACACAUAAUCAAAGUGAAUCGU
ensembl:antisense Gm17112 predicted gene 17112